UGCAAUAAAAAGUAUUACUUGGAGUGCUGUCCAAAUUACCUUUUAUAUAUUAUUAUCAACAUUUAGGAUCUAGCACCCAGUCUUCAAAGUCUUCUAAGUUUCAGUGUGAGUUGAGCGUGUUAAAUCUUUAUUUAUUUAUUUUAAUUUUUUUUUAAAUAUCCAAAUGCAAAUAAUCUUUGAAUGUGUACAAAAUGGUGAACAGUUUCUUAUUCAUCUAAAUGUUGUAAAGUUUCAGUGUGAGUUGAGCGUGUUAAAUCUUUAUUUAUUUAUUUUAAUUUUUUUUACAAUAUCCAAAUGCAAAUAAUCUUUGAAUGUGUACAAAAUGGUGAACAGUUUCUUAUUCAUCUAAUUGUUGUAAAGGUUUGCUGCCAAAGUCUUGCCUACUAUGACUGAUUCUCACAUUCUGAACACCUUUCUUUCUUAGCCUUCUCUU